rnacentral:tRNA from 1 species
GGGCCAUUAGCUCAGUUGGUCAGAGCAUUCGGCUCAUAACCGACCGGUCCGGGGUUCGAGUCCCUGAUGGCCCACCA